UAUGACUUGCAAAUGCUAAUUUGGCAAUCGAAACACCCUUCAAGUAGCAAAACAAUGCACACAAAAACAUUGAAAUUUUUUUCAACAAUGUUGUACAUGUAAUCCCCGUUUGGCCACACUAUUUUGCCCAUUUUUUCAUUUUCAGAAUUGAUUGUCCCUAAGCCUGCAUAUCUUGUGAAGUGUUGAAUAAAUUCCGGAAGAUGGGUAGUAUAUUGGAGGUAACAAUAAUCCAUCAUGUGUGCAUGGUGCUGAUUUUCUUUUGGUUACUUAAUUCUUUCAAGUGUUGCCACCCAGUUGCCUACUUUCUUUCCCUCAUCUAUCUCUAUCUGGUCCAUGAAUUGUAUGAGACGAGAUGGAGAAGGAAACUGCAGUUUGACGAGAUAAGACAAUCCAAUCGAAGAUGGAAGGAUACUGCGGUUCAGCGUUUGUACUUGGGAAGAUCCCUGCCUAUAUUCACUGAAAUGAGGGUGCUUCCAAAAUCCCAUGGUGAUGAUCACUUGGUAUGCUAGGGUCACUGGUAUUGGAAUUGGGAACGAAUUUUCGUACUGCAGAUGAUAUGGGUGCAAUUAUUGCAGUGAAACUGAGGAAAAGAUUGGGAUUAGGAAUGCGAGCAAAGUUGCAUUUGUUAGGCAUGCAUGUUGAAGGAAAUGUAAGUAAAAAGUUAUAUCAUGUAGUAAAUAAUACUUCAGUAAGUGCAUCAAGCUCUACUUAGUAUAUCCGUCCAAUUAUAAAGUCCUUUAAAAUCUUGCUUGUGGAUGAAGACUUAAUUGGCCUAUUAA